rnacentral:lncRNA from 1 species
CUAGUAUUAAUUGUUGGGAUAUGUUUGUAAAGAACUCUUUCUGUACAAUUUUCUAUGUUAAUUCUCUUUGUCAAUUAAACAGUAGUUAUUGGUUAUUAUAACUGUAAUCUCAGUCCUUAAGAAGUCAGCCUCAUUACCCAUCUGAACCUGCAAUGUGCCAAUCUUUUGCCAUUAGACCUAAUGCCUAUGGUUCUAAUCCAAUUGGUCUGUGCACAUUUCUACAGAUAUUAAUUACUGGGUUGUUCUUGUGUAUAAGUCUGUAUUGUAUCAUGCAUUAUCUAGUAUUCCUCUAUAUGGAGUUCAAUAAUGUUUGUACAGUCUCGUGCAAAAAGUUUGUUAGGUUACAGGAAAAGGUUCAGCUAUCCAACAAUAUGCACACAUACUGGCACUAAUCACUUCAAGAGCAGAGCAAUACUUCUGUAAGAGAGAAAAGUUUGUCAGAACCUGAC